UACGAAGGGUGCAAGCGUUACUCGGUAUUACUGGGCGUAAAGCGUGCGUAGGUGGUUCGUUAAGUCUGAUGUGAAAGCCCUGGGCUCAACCUGGGAAUGGCAUUGGAAACUGGCGACCUAGAGUGCGGUAGAGGGUAGUGGAAUUCCCGGUGUAGCAGUGAAAUGCGUAGAGAUCGGGAGGAACAUCCGUGGCGAAGGCGACUACCUGGACCAGCACUGACACUGAGGAGCGAAAGCCAGGGGAGCAAACGGG
rnacentral:rRNA from 1 species